ensembl:lncRNA
ACAGGAUUUGCGGGGAAGUAAACAGCCGGGUCGAGACCGUUCACCCAACAGUACCAAAUCCCUAUACUCUGUUGAGUCUCAUCCCUCCCGGUCAUGUGUGGUACUCAGUAUUAGACCUUAAAGAUUCAUUUUUCAGCCUGCCUCUAGCACCUGUGAGCCGGGCCCUCUUUGCCUUCGAAUGGACUGACCCAGACACCGGAACAACCAGACAGCUGACAUGGACCCGGCUGCCGCAGGGAGUCAAAAACUCCCCCACUCUGUUCAGGGAAGCUCUCAGCAAAGAUCUGCAAGAGGUAAAAAAAGUGUUUCCCCAGGCGACUAUUCUUCAGUAUGUCGAUGACCUCCCGGUGGCGACUUCAAACGAUAAAAAAUGCGUUGCAGCCACCGAGGGCCUCCUGAAAGCCCUCCAAGAACUGGGAUAUUGGGUGUCCUGGAAGAAAGCUCAACUCUGCCAGACCAAGCUUUGAUUCCAAGACCCUGGAACCUCGUUAAAAGGGACCGGUUCCUGUUGUCCUGUCAACUCCCUUGGUGGUGAAGGUGGCUGGACAUUCUGCCUGGAUACAUUGCAACCAUCUAAAAGCAGGACCCCCACGGACGCCAAAAAGGACAAAUGGAAGGUUAUCAGCCAACCAGGCGACCAAAAGCUAAGACUGGAACGGGUUAAAAAUGUUUCACCUUAAUGAUAAUAUUCUCUGGGACACUAGCAGUAUUGCCCCCAAGAGGACUAGAUCACACAAAAAAUGUAUGGAUUCAAUUGACAAACUCGCUUGUCUAAAUUCUGCUUAAAUGUUGAUGUAAAUUUCCAUUAUGUGCUGAAAAGCUGUCUUAUUCUGGUAUACACCUCUUUAAAAUUAAUAUGACCCUAUACCCUAUUUAAGGACAUCCCAGGAAAAAAUCUUACUUACAUGGAUAGUUAUAAUUGGGGACAUGACACCUGCCGUAAACCUAAAAAUGCUGUCGAAUUAUAUACACCCAAGUUAAUUAUGUCAAACAAAACUAAAUGUGCUUUGUAUAAAAACUGCACAACCAAAUGUCUGAGGAUAAAAUGGUCAAAAGGGAUGUCCUGCCAUAUAAAACAAAAAAAAUUGUGUAUAACAAUUGCCAUAUCUCCCUGCCCAUCAGAUGGUUUUAUACCUGUGAAAGAAUAACCUUUAAUUAUAUUCCAACAAAUUUAACCAAGACCCAUUGCUGUUUGAGUCAUCUAGCUGUAGUGUUGCCAGACAGAACUGAUUUGAUUGUGCCUAACAGAACUAAACGUUGGUCACCUUACACUGCACCAGGAUGCGAUGAUGACGUAGGUCUGUUAACAGAUGCUAAAGUAAUAACCAUGAUAGCAUCUUUUGUUGCCCUGCCUUCUACAGGAGUCCAUGCUGAAAAGACAGUACAAAAAUUAGCUUGCAAGGUGGUCAAAGGGUUAAAUGCUACCUCAUCAGCCUUGGCAUUAAUUAACCAAGAGUUACAGGAACAGAGACAGGCAAUCUUAAAUAAUAGAACAACAAUAGACUAUUUGUUGCUCCUCCACCACCAAGGCUGUGAAAGAAUAAAAAAUAUGUGUUGUUUCAAUCUUACUGAUAAUGGUCCAAAGAUUAAAAAAAAAAGGUAAAACAAUUAGAAGAUCUGGCUCAAAGAGUACAUGAUGAGGAUGGCGGGGACUUGUUCAAAUGGUUAACCUCGUGGUUGCCCAACCUACAAUGGUUAAAACAACUUUUUCUUGUCAUCAUAGUUGUGUGUACAUGCUUAUUAUUGUCAUGUUGUUGUAUACAAUGGAUGCCUACAUUUGUGCGUAAGAUUACUUAAGUUCCAAAAAUCAGUGGGGAAUGUGGGACUGCAUAACCUUUGUUCCUUUUCUCCAGCCCCAUUGUGAUUAAAUGUGAGUUAAUAGAUAAAGACGCUUGUUAGUUUUGGGACACUAGAUAAAAAUCUGUAACAGACCUAAAGUCUCAAAGUAAACUACUCAACUCCUUGUUUGCCCAGAACUGAUGUUCUGGACACCACAAUCUAUAGAACAAGCUACAAAUGUCUGCUGACCAUCAAUAUGUGACAGUCGACCACUAACCUUUGUCCCUUUUCUUUAAUUCUAUAUGUUAACUUCCCCCUCAACCCCCUAUAAGAACAGCCUUGGACUCUGAGCCAGUUGCCUCUCUAAGCUAUUUUGCUUUGGGAUUGCCGUCUGGCCAGACUAAUAAAGGUCUGUUUUAUUUUUCAA